rnacentral:rRNA from 1 species
ACUCCUGCGGGAGGCAGCAGUGGGGAAUUUUGGACAAUGGGCGAAAGCCUGAUCCAGCAAUGCCGCGUGAGUGAAGAAGGCCUUCGGGUUGUAAAGCUCUUUUGUCAGGGAAGAAACGGUGAAAGCUAAUAUCUUUUGCUAAUGACGGUACCUGAAGAAUAAGCACCGGCUAACUACGUGCCAGCAGCCGCGGUAAUACGUAGGGUGCAAGCGUUAAUCGGAAUUACUGGGCGUAAAGCGUGCGCAGGCGGUUUUGUAAGUCUGAUGUGAAAUCCCCGGGCUCAACCUGGGAAUUGCAUUGGAGACUGCAAGGCUAGAAUCUGGCAGAGGGGGGUAGAAUUCCACGUGUAGCAGUGAAAUGCGUAGAUAUGUGGAGGAACACCGAUGGCGAAGGCAGCCCCCUGGGUCAAGAUUGACGCUCAUGCACGAAAGCGUGGGGAGCAAACAGGAUUAGAAACCCGAGUAGUCCCAUG